CAAGAUGAGAUUUCCCAUGGAGUUAAUCCAGUAAGACCCCUUAGAGAUGAUGAGGUUGAUAGGUCUCGGGUGGAAGCGUGGCGACACGUGGAGCUGAGAGAUACUAAUCGGUCGAGGACUUAUCCUAAA
rnacentral:rRNA from 1 species